rnacentral:rRNA from 1 species
CCAGCAAAAGAAGCGGCUAACUACGUGCCAGCAGCCGCGGUAAUUAUAGGGUGCAAGCUUAUCCGGAAUUAUUGGGCGUAAAGAGCUCGUAGGCGGUCUGUCGCGUCUGCUGUGAAAUCCCGAGGCUCAACCUCGGGCUUGCAGUGGGUACGGGCAGACUAGAGUGCGGUAGGGGAGAUUGGAAUUCCUGGUGUAGCGGUGGAAUGCGCAGAUAUCAGGAGGAACACCGAUGGCGAAGGCAGAUCUCUGGGCCGUAACUGACGCUGAGGAGCGAAAGGGUGGGGAGCAAACAGGCUUAGAUACCCUGGUAGUCCACCCCGUAAACGUUGGGAACUAGUUGUGGGGUCCUUUCCACGGAUUCCGUGACGCAGCUAACGCAUUAAGUUCCCCGCCUGGGGAGUACGGCCGCAAGGCUAAAACUCAAAGGAAUUGACGGGGACCCGCACAAGCGGCGGAGCAUGCGGAUUAAUUCGAUGCAACGCGAAGAACCUUACCAAGGCUUGACAUACACGAGAACGGGCCAGAAAUGGUCAACUCUUUGGACACUCGUGAACAGGUGGUGCAUGGUUGUCGUCAGCUCGUGUCGUGAGAUGUUGGGUUAAGUCCCGCAACGAGCGCAACCCUCGUUCUAUGUUGCCAGCACGUAAUGGUGGGAACUCAUGGGAUACUGCCGGGGUCAACUCGGAGGAAGGUGGGGAUGACGUCAAAUCAUCAUGCCCCUUAUGUCUUGGGCUUCACGCAUGCUACAAUGGCCGGUACAAUGGGCUGCGAUACCGUAAGGUGGAGCGAAUCCCAAAAAGCCGGUCCCAGUUCGGAUUGAGGUCUGCAACUCGACCUCAUGAAGUCGGAGUCGCUAGUAAUCGCAGAUCAGCAACGCUGCGGUGAAUACGUUCCCGGGUCUUGUACACACCGCCCGUCAAGUCAUGAAAGUCGGUAACACCUGAAGCGU